rnacentral:tRNA from 1 species
GGGGCCAUAGCUCAGUGGUAGAGCAGCGCCUUUGCAAGGCGAAGGUCCGGGGUUCGAAUCCCCGUGGCUCCA